UGUGGAAGGAAGAAUGUCGAAUGCAUUGCGAGUCAUCACCAACAGAGGGAUACUGAGCAGCAAGGCCUUCCUUUCUCAGCUGACAAUUUGUCUGGAAUCAUCUCCUUUGUUUUCCUGCUCCCUAAGUCAGGGAAGAAAAGAAAGCCCUGGUGAUCAACAGACUUCUGACAAAGAAAAGCAGAGAGGUGCCAAGGAGACAGCAACACACAUGCAGUCAUGCCUCACCUGAAGGAAAGGGACAGACAGGCAAGAAGUGAGUUUCCAAUAUCUGAAGGAAGGAAAUGUCAAGUGCAUAAGGGAUUGGUGUUCCAUUGGGAAGGACUUGGGUGCCUGUGGAGACAGUGAUAUCAUCAAAAUAUGAAGACACCACAUGGUUCUUGUAAGACUGUCUCUCCCAAACUCAUCCACUAUUCAGGAAGGUCGAGCUCUUGACAAGCAGAUGCAGAAGGGAAAGCCUUCUCCACAUGGAAAGAUGAAAGUAUCAUAUCAAGAGGAUAUGAAAUAUACUUAAAAAUGCAAGUACCUCAGAAGUGUGGAAACUCUAACAUUUGAGCUGUUUUAUUAUAUCAAUACAAUUUUCCUUAGUAUUAGAACAUAUUUUCCUGAUUAAUUCUUAGUGAAAUUCAAAACAGUUUUAAAAAUAAAUAUUAGUGAACUUAAGGGAAAGUGCUGCUGGUCAUAAGUAAUGUUAUAUAUGAAAUUGUCAGAGUGGAAAAUAUGCCCCUGUUCAUCCAGCCAUAUACAUUUUGAGAGACAAUAUUUUCACACAAUAAUUUCAGAAUUUUUAUAAUAAUACGCAAAUUGAUUAAUCAAAAGAACAUAAUAUAGCAGAAAACAUAGUACUAGUUAAUGUAUCACACAAGUUCAAAUGUUUUGCUGUGUUUUUCUGCUUGAAACAAACUUUACAUACAUUUUUAAACUUUUCUUAUGAAAUAACUUAUUCUGCCUUACAUACUCCAGUAUCAGCAGCAUUCUAUUUUUUCAGAUAUGCACGUUCUUGUUCUUUCACUUAUAUUCUCUUAUUUAUAUAACUCUAUCCCAUAUUUCCAAGAGUGUUAUUAUUUAUACCUUAUAUUACCUGAUUGCUAUUUUCUAAUAAUUGAAAAUUUCUAGGUUAUGCCAAAUUUCAUGCAUUUCUUCCUUUUUUCUACCUUUCGGUGCUAAUGCUGAAUGAACACAAUGAGAAGAAUAAGGAAGACUCCCUGCAAUAUACACUACCUCAGAGGACCAGCAGCAGCUCCACCAUGAGAAGACAAGACUGGUCCUCAUUACACUUCCCCUCAACACAGCAGGGGCCACUGAACUGAAGGGAGACUGAAACUGUCAACCAAAAUAAGAUCUUAGUCCUUUUGAAGUCAAUAAUCUCAGGUGUUUUCUCCUGGCAAUAGAAGAUUGACUGAUACGGAAGCUUAGCUCGAAUAUGAACGAAAACAAAUGAUGUUCAAAAACACUGAGUUAUGUUUUCACAGCCUUCUAUCACUAGAAAGCAUUUUAAACAUCAAGGGAGACAAAGGACAAGGAGGGGAAGAGGGCAUGUGGAAAGUGAGCCCAAGCAUUGGAAAGAUGACACAGAUGGAUCCUCAGAGUUGGUUAUCCAGCUCUCCCCCCUACAGGUUGACCCUAGUGAGAGACCCUGUCUAUCGAUCUGUAAACAAACAAACAAACAAACAAACAAAUAAAUGUGGAAGUCACUUG